AACGAACGUUAGCGGCGCGCCUAACACAUGCAAGUCGCACGAGAAAGGGCUUCGGCCCCGGUAAAGUGGCGCACGGGUGAGUAACACGUGGGUAAUCUGCCCUCGAGCGGGGGAUAACGGUCCGAAAGGACCGCUAAUACCGCAUAAGACCACGACCUCGAAAGAGGAUGCGGUCAAAGCUGGCCUCUAUUCAUAAGCUAGCACUUGAGGAUGAGCCCGCGGCGCAUCAGCUAGUUGGUGAGGUAAUGGCUCACCAAGGCUAAGACGCGUAGCUGGUCUGAGGGGAUGAUCAGCCACACUGGAACGGGGACACGGUCCAGACUCCUACGGGAGGCAGCAGUGGGGAAUCGUGCGCAAUGGGCGAAAGCCUGACGCAGCGACGCCGCGUGAGUGAUGAAGGCCUUCGGGUUGUAAAGCUCUGUGGGGAGAGACGAAUAAGUGCAAGCUAAUACCUUGCAUGAUGACGGUAUCUCCUUAGCAAGCACCGGCUAACUCUGUGCCAGCCGCCGCGGUAAGAC
rnacentral:rRNA from 1 species